rnacentral:rRNA from 1 species
CUACGGUGAAUACGUUCCCGGACCUUGUACACACCGCCCGUCAAGCCAUGGAAGCUGGGUGUACCUAAAGUUGGUAACCGCAAGGAGCCGCCUGGGUAAAACUAGUAACUGGGGCU